CCAAAACUGAACACAGUACUUGAGGUGCAGCCUCAGCAGGGUUGAGAACAGAGGGACUCAGAGUACAGGGAUCACCUCCCUGCAUUAUUUCUGAUACCAGCUGGCCUUCUUGGUCUCCUGAGCACACUGUUGGCUCAUGUUCAGCCUGCUGUCAACUAACACCCCCAGAUACAAUUCCGCUGCACAGCUUUCUAGCUAUGCUGCCCCAAGCCUGUAGCGACUCAUGGGGUUGUUGUGGCCAAAGUGCAGGACCCUGCACUUGGUCUUGUAGAACUUCAUCUCAUUAGCCUCAGCCCAGCGACCCAGCCUUUCCAGAUCCCUCUGUAGGACGUUCCUACCCCCAGGCAGAUCGACACAGGAUCACGGCUACAACAAAGACCACAACGAACACCACAAAUACAACCACAACUACACCCCCUCCUCCCCCUUCCCAGCGCUCCCGCCCUAACCUAAGAUGGCCGCGCGGUACCACCUACCGAGAAAAAGGGGCGAGGCCUGACGGCAGCGGUUCCCUCGGCAACCUCCCGGCGUCUUCCAUCUCUCCCGCCUGCGAUCUCAGUGACCAUUCAGAAACUGAAGUGAAGAAAUCUAGCAUACUGCCAGAUGCUAUACCACCACGUGCUAUACCACCACCUAUAGCUGAAUCUCCACUAGCACUGAAGGACUUAUCUGUGAGGGAAACACCAACAUCUGUAGGCCAAUCAUCUGUCAUGGAGUUGCCAAAGCCUGCAGACCAUCUGGUUGUUGAAAACUCGCUAGGUUCUGAAGGCCAAUUUCCCAUACCUAGGGGAAACUCAUCUGAGAUUAGAUCACCUGUGGAUGAACAGCUUGGUUUCAAAGUCAAAAUAUCCAUGUCUGAAUCCUCACAGUCUUGGAGUAAAAUGUCUCUGAAUGAAUCAUCAGCAGCUGUAGUUAAACCAACAGAGGAAGCUUGUGAAAUAUCAGAGCAGCCAACGGUGUAUGAAGACCCUUUUGAAGCCUCUGUUAACUAUGUGGAGAAACAUAAUAUUCUGCAGAUAUUUCAGGAGAUCACAAUGAAACUGUUGUACGAGAAACCUGAAGACCCCUUGCAGUUCAUGUUGCUGCAGGUGCAGUCUAUGAUAAAUGCCAGGCAGGCAGAAAUGGAAGGAGUAUCGGAAGAGCACAAAGAUACAGAGGAGUUUCUGGGAGAGGUCCUGAGCACUCCUUCAGGCUUCUACUGACCUUGCUGUUGUGGUAUUGCACAGGGCCUUUCCAGCAUCAUGCUUUUACAACCAGUGGAAGUACCUUUGAAGAAGUCUGCUGGUAUCUCUGUUUCCUGAUUUUUCUGUUCUGUACGCUUGUAUUUCCCUUUUUGUUUAAAUCCUGCAACCAAGCAUCACUUUGGAUGUGCAAACUCAAACCUGAAAGAGUGCAUGGACUUACAUGCAUAUGUGGCAUGUCCUGAAAAGGCUGGCCUGCUGAACUCUUGUCUGUUCUGUACAUGCAAAUGCACAAAUUCCACAUUUAGGCCACCUCUAGUCUCUGCUUUUCUGUGCAGAGAAACAAUACACAGUAGAAUUAAACAGUAAACCUGGACAACUCACAGUCCUUUCUUUUUCAUGCUGCAUUGGGAGCGUGCUGUCUCAAACUAUACAAUAACACCAAUGUCCAUCUAAUAGUUUGAAAUCCACACUCAGAGAGGCUGGGUCUGUGGCUUUUCUGCUGCCCCCAAAGCUCCCCUGACACAUGGAGAUGUCUCUCUUGUUUCCACACAUGUGGCUGUCUCCCCCUUAACCUGUUAGUUUCAGAUCACUCUGCUUUUUGAUGUUGUCCUGCUUGUAUCAUUGCAAGUGUAGCACGUAUUUUGAUAAACAGCUCUGUGGCUUCAAAGGAUAUUGCCAAUCAGGAAAGUGAAAGGUGAAUAAAACUAAACCAACCAAAACCAUGCACUGGUAGUACAGCAAAUUCAGAGUUAAGAAUGACACUUUGCAAAUACAUCACUUGAACUGCUUUUAAUUCUCAGAACACUUGCAAUGCUCAUUUGUAUUUUCCAAGUGUUGUUUUUCACCCUUUAAAGGACGUUUGUCUUUCUUGCCCCUUGCCUGAAGAUCACUGAAAAUGUGCAAUAGCACAUACAGUUAUUUUGCCAUUAUUUCAUGUGUAUGUGCAAUAGGUGCCAGAAAGUCUUUUGUCACUACAGACUUCUCUUUUUUAGGCAAGCGUUCUAAUUUCAUGAUGGAUGGUAGCAUGUUCCCAAAAGUCUGUCUUUGGCUAUGAAGGGAGCGCCACAGAAACUUAUCUAUCUCUUCAUAGCUAAAAGUCUGAUGAUUAGGUUGUGCGAUACACCACAGCAGAGCUUGGGCCCAAAACACUGGGAAAUAACUGAGGCAAGUAUUUGGCAUACAGAUGCUGUGUUUGAGGACGAGUUGCCUUUCAAUCAAAGGCUCUCAAAAAAGAUGAGUUAACUCUCAUUUUUCCAGGUUAAAAAAUCUCAAAAAAAAAAGUCCUAACUCCUGUGUUUCCAAGUUAAAGGCAGGUAAGCACCUCUGUCAUUCACAAAGCUGACAGGUUUUCAAGCCUAAAGGUAGCUAAAGAUCCAGAUAGAUCUUCAUAGGUUUUAUAAGAGAUGUGAUGUAGACUCAGGUGUCUAGGUCCCCCUGAGGCACUGAGAUGCUCUUGAAAGCCCUACUUAUCUUCAGCAACCAGAAGAAUUGGACCCUUAAUGAAACGGUGAUUGUUUUUCAGCCUUAUAUAUUUUUGAUCAAGAUUUUCUAGAUGGCCCUGUACAUUCACUCACUGUGAAUGUAAGAGAAGUGCUAAUAAUGUAUCUCCGUGAAACAGGAAAUGAGUGGAAGACAGCAACUUUACAUGAACGUACUGGCUGGGGCCUUUUGAUCUCUAUUGUCACUUAUCAGCACAUUUUCCAAGAGAUGAAGGUGUUGUCAUGCCUUUGAAUUUUGUUGUAAAAUGGUAUUAAGGUACUUUUGGGGACAGCCUUAGAUGUGAAAUCCCUAUGUUUCUACCAUUUGUAUAUUGUAUUUUAUUGUUCUGUUUUACUUAUGGAAACCUUGUGAGUUGUGAUAUAUUAUCAUACAAUAGGUGUAUGCCCUCAGCUUCGUAUCAGUUUUAAGUGAGUAUUGCAAGGAAAGAUCCAUAAUUUCUCCUUCAGGUAAAUUGAGAGCUGGAAAGUAGUCUUCCUACAGGUAAUGGAAGUUUUGCAAAAAAGGCCCUACACAGUGUUCCUCAGCAAUCUCAGGGCCUAAAUUUUCCUUAUCUUGUGCAAACAAAGUCAGUACAUGGUAGCAAGAAGUUCUCUCCGGUGCAAAUAAGAGAGCGGCUGUCUCUCCAUCCUAAGGAUUAAGCUUCCUCUCCUUUGAGGAGCAGCAGUUGUGGCAGCAGUUGUGUAGCAGUGUAUGUGGCUGCGCUCAGGGCAGCUCUGUGGGCCUGCAAUUGGCUUGCAUGGAUGGCAAGAAAAUGUGGAAAGAGUAGGCUUGGGAGCAAUACACCAACCCCAAGUAAGGGCUUUAAUAGAAAAUCUUGGGGAACUUCGUGAAGCAUCUGAGGAGAAAUGUUCCUUUCUUUUCCUCAAGCCUUGUAGAUAACUGGAUUGUAUUUUGAACUGUAUAUAUAUAGUAUUAAUAAAUAUAUAUAUAUAGGUUUUUUUUAAGAAACUCAGGCUAGGAACUUCAGUUUUGAAAACAAAAACAUUCUUCAGAAGGUGUGCAGAUUGUUGUGUUUAGGCUAAUACAACACCAUGGUCCUUUUUGAUUUGCUUCGAAGUUUUGCUGAAAAACAAACCUCAGCUCUAGAAAAAUUCUACCUCACAUUAAGGCACUAAUGCAUCACUGAUGUUUGUGUGUGUGAAGGCUUUUCUGCUGUGAAGAAAAGGAGAAAAGUUGGAUUUAAGAUGGAAGCAUUUACUGUGGUCUUAAUUUCAGAGUGACUGUCUUUUUUCCAUGAUUUCUUUCCCAAGCCAUUGGAUCCAUGUUUCUUCUUCAUAAGUGGACAUUUAUCAACAUGACAAUAAACUGUCAUUAAAUUUCUUGCC